AACGAACGCUGGCGGCAUGCCUAACACAUGCAAGUCGAACGAGACCUUCGGGUCUAGUGGCGCACGGGUGCGUAACGCGUGGGAACCUGCCCUUAGGUUCGGAAUAACUCCCCGAAAGGGGUGCUAAUACCGGAUAAUGUCUUCGGACCAAAGAUUUAUCGCCUUUGGAUGGGCCCGCGUUGGAUUAGCUAGUUGGUAGGGUAAAAGCCUACCAAGGCGACGAUCCAUAGCUGGUCUGAGAGGAUGAUCAGCCACACUGGGACUGAGACACGGCCCAGACUCCUACGGGAGGAAGCAGUGGGGAAUAGUGGACAAUGGGCGAAAGCCUGAUCCAGCAAUGCCGCGUGAGUGAUGAAGGCCUUAGGGUUGUAAAGCUCUUUUAACCGGGAUGAUAAUGACAGUACCGGGAGAAUAAGCGCCGGCUAACUCCGUG
rnacentral:rRNA from 1 species